AUUAGGAAGCUUGCCUUGUCCCGCCUUAGUUGCUUCUGAUUGGACAGAACUACUGCAGCUAGAAGUGCGGUUCCCCUCAAUCAGUCUCUCUCUCUCUGCGUGCUCUGGAGGAAGAAGCUGUGCCCCAAAGUCAGCUAGAAAGCUGUGUCUCACAGUUAGCUUAGGAAAGUGACCAAAAUAAGCCUCUUUUGAUAAAAGAGUGAACUAUUUAAAGCUAGAAGCAUCACCUGUCCAUCUAAUGGGCUGGAAAUUCGUGAAUUGUGCAAAAACCUGACCUAUGAACACAGACUAUCUGCUGAAGCUGGUUCUAGAGCUAUUGAGGGUAAAGGACCAAAAAGGAUACCCGUUCAUCCAAGAGUUUCUGUACCUGCUUGCUUAAGCAGGUCAGGUUUUUUUUGAGGGCGCUGAAAACCUGGGAGAGCAGAUUCCCUCAGCAUGACUUCGGACCCUCUUCUGUGAAAGCGAUGGCGAGCCACCCAAAGGAGAACUGAGCUAAAAGACUACUCUUGAGUCCAUUUCAAAUUACCUGGUCAUGUGGUAGGACAAAGAAAAGUGAUUGAGAGACUGAGCUUAUUUUAUUUUAAUUUUAAUUU